CCAUUAGUGUAGAGGAUGCUGUUCGUUUCUCUUUUUUUUUUUUUUUUUUCCUUCUACAGGAGUUGCUGAUCCAAAGGCCUGGCUUAAGAGUGAUCACUUGCUACUUGUAUUAUCAAGAUCAAGAUCGAGAUACAGAAAAAAAAAAAAAACAGGAAUUGUAAUACGACUAGAAAAACAAGCCUAGUGGGAGCGGAUGCCAAGGCUUAUCCCACGCCUACUACUGAACUGAACAGUAGUGCAGCUCCUUAUUUAUUUUUGGUGACUGGCACCAGCAAACCUGGAUGGCUGCCAGCACCCCAGCCUGCCCCUAGAUGCCCCAGCAUGCCAACAGGAUCUCCCCAAGCACAGGACAGUCUGAUUGGCUAACCAUCAUUGAAAUCCUAGCCAGGGGGCGCAGCCUCGACAACCCACCUCAGGGAUACUAAUCUAUCCUAAACUAACAGGAGCUGUACCCCCCUGGACUCCCUCAAAGAUAUUAACUUAGGCCCAGUUCACACCAGCCCGUCACUGUCACCGCGAUCACCAUCCAUGACAUCACAAAUGGUGAGCUAGAUGGGAAUCAUGACCCUUGGUGCUGAUGGCCAUCUCACCAUCAGAGAUUAAAUAAAUUCAUCAUUUGAAGGUGGGACAGUGGUGGUGUUGCCCAUUAUUGAUGGUGUUGGAUAUCCUUGAUAUCAUGAAAAUGUGAAAUAAUAUAAUAUUAUUACUGUAAAUGUUUAAAUAUAUUUUCCUGAAGUGUGAGGUAAAGACUGUUGUUCAAUGGAUCUGGAAACAUGGCAACACCACUCACCAUGCAUCCUCAGUGAAGCUGAUCCUUUGGUAAACACACAGCAUUCGAGCACGUGCAGUGUGGACCAACUAUGUAGUAUGCUGUAGACUUCAUGGAAGCUGUUUCUAUCAGCCCUUUUCUUUGCCUCCAUGAGGAUCUUGAGUUCUCCUCUUAGCGGCCUCUCCACCAGUAGUUGCUGUGCCCAUACUGUUCAUCUCCUCCUUCUUUUUGCUGGCCUAACUGGACACUCUUCUGGUUUUAAAUCUUCCAACAAUAAGAGAGCAGCAAUGAUGAGGCAAUCCUUGUAGUCCAUCUUGUUGUGGUGUGUGUGUGGGACUGAUGGGCUGACGUCACGCCAUCGCCCUGUGUUGGAGCUCAUUUCCUCUGAAGCAGACGGCUGUCAAGUUUUUGACAUCAAGGAUGGUGAUGGCGGUGAUGAUGAUGGGCUGGUGUGAACCGGGCCUUAACCUAACCUAACGUUCUAGGGUCUGUUAUUUUAUGUUAUUACUCUAGGUUCGGGUCCAGGGAAUUUUUAGAAGUGCCCGUGUCUAGGGAUGUUUAUCUGUUCACAUUUAUAGGCUGUAUUUAUCAGUAAAACCAGGCAUUGUAUGCAUGACCAGACCAAAAUUGUCUUGUCAACCAUUCUGUCCCUUGUUUUACUGGUAAAUCAGUGUUUUUCAUCUAUACCACCCAAAUACCCUGCAUUUCCAAAAAUUCCCACACUUGCUGGGGAAGAGCUGAAUAUUUAAGAAACUAUGCAUUUCCCAUGGAAAAUGAGAGAGACAUAGUUUCUUAGAAUUCAGUAAGGUAUGCAAAAAUCAUAUAACCACUGUUGCAGAUUUUGAUGGUGUCAUUCCAAAAUAAUACCCCCAUCUCACAACAGCGGACACAUUUUAUUUAUUUUGGUAAUUUUUUACUUUCACCAGUCUGUCUACUCCAAACAAAACAUUUUUUUCUGGUAGUUUUCAACUUGCUUUAAAUUAAUCUGCAUGUUUUAUUUCCCACAAAUCAGUAGCUUUUAUUUUUUUUAUCUCCACCCCCCAUCAGAAACUAAGUUAUUGCUUAUAGUAGGUCCUUCUUACUUUGCUUUUUAACACUGACAUGAUAUAGUAUACUUACUGUAGUGUACAUCUGUAAAAGUUUCAGACAGUGACUUCCUAUAGUUAACUCACAAAUGCACAAUUAAAAACAGAAGUGCCUCCCAGAGCCUAAGUCCGCUUUUUUUUUUUUCAAUACUUAAGCUCAGCUUGUUUGUUGUAUUAAUGAACAACAAGCAUUUUAUCAUGAACAUUUUAAUAUGAGGCACAUUUUAUUUGCGAGAUAUAUAAAGGACUCUACGAGGGUGUUAUUCCACUCUGCCCUGAUGUAAACAAACUGACCGCCUGCAACAAGCAGUCAGUUCUCAAAGCAGUGGCUUGUGUCCAGUGUUGCCACAACUCCAUCCAUAGCGUGUGGGACUUUCAAAUUGAGUCAGCUGCUUCCGAAAUCUGUUAAAGCA